GACAGCGACCAUACCACGUAAAAAGCGUCGAUUCUAAUCCGAUCACCGAAGUAAAGCUACGUUGGGCCCGUUUGUACUUGCAUGGGUGACCGGCUGGGAAUACCGGGUUUUGCUGACA
rnacentral:rRNA from 1 species